rnacentral:rRNA from 1 species
UACGUAGGGUGCAAGCGUUGUCCGGAAUUAUUGGGCGUAAAGAGCUCGUAGGCGGCCUGUCGCGUCGGCUGUGAAAACCCGGGGCUCAACCCCGGGCCUGCAGUCGAUACGGGCAGGCUAGAGUCCGGCAGGGGAGACUGGAAUUCCUGGUGUAGCGGUGAAAUGCGCAGAUAUCAGGAGGAACACCGGUGGCGAAGGCAGAUCUCUGGGCCGUAACUGACGCUGAGGAGCGAAAGCGUGGGGAGCGAACAGG